rnacentral:rRNA from 1 species
GACGAACGCUGGCGGCGUGCCUAAUACAUGCAAGUAGAACACUGAAGAGAGGAGCUUGCUCUUCUUGGAUGAGUUGCGAACGGGUGAGUAACGCGUAGGUAACCUGCCUUGUAGCGGGGGAUAACUGUUGGAAACGAUAGCUAAUACCGCAUAACAAUGGAUGACACAUGUCAUUUAUUUGAAAGGGGCAAUUGCUCCACUACAAGAUGGACCUGCGUUGUAUUAGCUAGUAGGUGAGGUAAUGGCUCACCUAGGCGACGAUACAUAGCCGACCUGAGAGGGUGAUCGGCCACACUGGGACUGAGACACGGCCCAGACUCCUACGGGAGGCAGCAGUAGGGAAUCUUCGGCAAUGGGGGCAACCCUGACCGAGCAACGCCGCGUGAGUGAAGAAGGUUUUCGGAUCGUAAAGCUCUGUUGUAAGUCAAGAACGGGUGUGAGAGUGGAAAGUUCACACUGUGACGGUAGCUUACCAGAAAGGGACGGCUAACUACGUGCCAGCAGCCGCGGUAAUACGUAGGUCCCGAGCGUUGUCCGGAUUUAUUGGGCGUAAAGCGAGCGCAGGCGGUUUGAUAAGUCUGAAGUUAAAGGCUGUGGCUCAACCAUAGUUCGCUUUGGAAACUGUCAAACUUGAGUGCAGAAGGGGAGAGUGGAAUUCCAUGUGUAGCGGUGAAAUGCGUAGAUAUAUGGAGGAACACCGGUGGCGAAAGCGGCUCUCUGGUCUGUAACUGACGCUGAGGCUCGAAAGCGUGGGGAGCGAACAGGAUUAGAUACCCUGGUAGUCCACGCCGUAAACGAUGAGUGCUAGGUGUUGGAUCCUUUCCGGGAUUCAGUGCCGCAGCUAACGCAUUAAGCACUCCGCCUGGGGAGUACGACCGCAAGGUUGAAACUCAAAGGAAUUGACGGGGGCCCGCACAAGCGGUGGAGCAUGUGGUUUAAUUCGAAGCAACGCGAAGAACCUUACCAGGUCUUGACAUCCCGAUGCUAUUUCUAGAGAUAGAAAGUUACUUCGGUACAUCGGUGACAGGUGGUGCAUGGUUGUCGUCAGCUCGUGUCGUGAGAUGUUGGGUUAAGUCCCGCAACGAGCGCAACCCCUAUUGUUAGUUGCCAUCAUUCAGUUGGGCACUCUAGCGAGACUGCCGGUAAUAAACCGGAGGAAGGUGGGGAUGACGUCAAAUCAUCAUGCCCCUUAUGACCUGGGCUACACACGUGCUACAAUGGUUGGUACAACGAGUUGCGAGUCGGUGACGGCGAGCUAAUCUCUUAAAGCCAAUCUCAGUUCGGAUUGUAGGCUGCAACUCGCCUACAUGAAGUCGGAAUCGCUAGUAAUCGCGGAUCAGCACGCCGCGGUGAAUACGUUCCCGGGCCU